ACAGGUCUUCGGAUGCUGACGAGUGGCGAACGGGUGAGUAAUACAUCGGAACGUGCCCGAGAGUGGGGGAUAACGAAGCGAAAGCUUUGCUAAUACCGCAUACGAUCUCAGGAUGAAAGCAGGGGACCGCAAGGCCUUGCGCUCACGGAGCGGCCGAUGGCAGAUUAGGUAGUUGGUGGGAUAAAAGCUUACCAAGCCGACGAUCUGUAGCUGGUCUGAGAGGACGACCAGGCCACACUGGGACUGAGACACGGCCCAGACUCCUACGGGAGGCAGCAGUGGGGAAUUUUGGACAAUGGGCGCAAGCCUGAUCCAGCCAUGCCGCGUGCAGGAUGAAGGCCUUCGGGUUGUAAACUGCUUUUGUACGGAACGAAAAGACUCUGGUUAAUACCUGGGGUCCAUGACGGUACCGUAAGAAUAAGCACCGGCUAACUACGUGCCAGCAGCCGCGGUAAUACGUAGGGUGCGAGCGUUAAUCGGAAUUACUGGGCGUAAAGCGUGCGCAGGCGGUUAUGUAAGACAGAUGUGAAAUCCCCGGGCUCAACCUGGGAACUGCAUUUGUGAC
rnacentral:rRNA from 1 species